UACGGAGGGUGCAAGCGUUGUUCGGAAUCACUGGGCGUAAAGCGCGUGUAGGCGGCCCACUAAGUCUGAUGUGAAAGCCCGGGGCUCACCCCCGGAAGUGCAUUGGAAACUGGUGGACUCGAGUCCCGGAGAGGAGAGUGGAAUUCCUGGUGUAGCGGUGAAAUGCGUAGAUAUCAGGAGGAACACCGGUGGCGAAAGCGGCUCUCUGGACGGUGACUGACGCUGAGACGCGAAAGCGUGGGGAGCAAACAGG
rnacentral:rRNA from 1 species